UACAGCAAUAUUGCAGCUUUAGUUUGAGGCGUAGUUGUUGAUGAGCGCCAAGGCAUUGCUCGUCAGAUGCGCGAUCUUCGUUAUUUCCCUCCGGACAAUAGUCUCCACCCUUCCAUUCAAUUUAGGUUCAUCAAAACCAUCCAAGCAGGUGUCCUCAUCAGUUAAUGCAGCACUAACCCAUGUUUGAAUAUCACUAAUUUGAAACAAGAAACUUCUCGAGCCUUUAACUGCAUGACCCAAUUCACCUAUGGACUUUCGCAGCUCAUCCAAAGCAUCACUAAUCUCCUCCACACAGUCGAGUGUGGCUGCAACCUCUAUAGGCUUCAGUCCAUGAACUUUUGAACACCUGUUUAUUACCGCGGAAGUUGCUUUGGUGGCUCUAAGGGUCACGUUGAGGGCGGUAUGGGCUAGCACUUUCGGGCUGGUCUUGAUUUUUCCAGCAUAGAUUGAGAGGGAGGUGUAGCACAGUUUCGGAUAGAGCGUGACGCUGCAUGAUGUCUUUAUGUACUCGGUGUUCACUUUGCUAGAAGAUGCUGCAGCAGCUGUGCAGGGGUUUAUGUGGUUAAGAAGCAACUGGAGAAUAGGCAGAGCUAGCAUCAGAUGGC
rnacentral:lncRNA from 1 species